AAAGUUAUUUCUCAGUUCUUAUCGAUCAUUUUUUGUUGCGAAAAUAAAAUCUCAAAAUGUAAGAGUGUAUGUAUAUCAUUAUUGUGUUGAAUUUUACUUCUUAUAAAAAUUUUAUUAAAAAAAUUUAAAAGGAUCAUGAUGCUGAACUAAGCUUUAUUGUGAUGAUCUCAAAAUUCUGUAUUUUAGGAUCUGUUUGGUAUUGAGAAUUGUUUAAUAUUAUUGAACCAAAAGAAUUUGCUGUGCAAGCACAUAGAGAUAUUUUUUUUUUUAUGUUUUUAGACUUAGUUUGGUAUUGAGGUUUAUUUGACGAUAAAAUGGAGUUAGGAUAUAAGUAUAUAAGGAUAUGCUUCUGCGUUCUCCGGUGGACUGCAGAAAAUAUAUCAUAACCGACUGAUCGCAAUAUGCAGAACGUAAAAUUACGUACGGAAACAAACAGAGUAUUUUUUCAUCGUACUUUCUUUUCGCACAUAACGCAAUAUCCCCGCAAUUCCAAACGAAGCCUUAGUACUAGCAUAUGAAUCAUAUUUUGACUAGACUAAUGUGAUU
rnacentral:lncRNA from 1 species